CCUCCCUCUCCAGGCAACGAGCUGUCCGUGAGUGCUUACAUUUUUACUUUUUGAUCUUUACGUGGACAAACACCUCCCAUAGACUUCUAAGAAGUGGAAGAAAAAACACGAAGGAAUGAGAGAACAAACUCCAGAACUUUUUAAAAAAGAAAGCACAAAACUAUCCAGAGGAAUUUCACUAGAUGAAGUAACAGUUAUCCCGUGCUAAAGUGGGAUGACCUUAACAAGGAGCUGCAUCCGUUUCUGCUUUCUGUAAAGUGGGGAAGCCGCUUGCAUCAGAGUUUUGACACUAUUGCAGCUCACGGCUCUUGUGGAGCAGUGCCAGCCCCAGGAGCAUAGCAGAAGCACCUCUGCCAUCGGUGGUGAGGUUCUUGUCAGCCAUUUCUCCAGCCUGUUGAAGUCCCUCUGCAUGACAGCACAGCCCUCUUGUCCUGACAACCGCUCCUUCCAACAGCACUGUAGAGUGUGUGCCAUAUGCCAUCCUCCAGAUCAUCAGUGAAGAGCCUGAACAGCAUUGGCACAUGUAUCAGCCUCUGAGGCACAUCGAUUAUACCACAUUGUGUCAUCAAUCACAUCAGGUCAUGCCAGUGUACCUAGAGAAAGCCCUCCUGUCACCUUUUGAUUCCCCCAUGAGAUUCAAUUCCAGAUGACUUUUGGCUUUUCUUAACCACUCCCUGCACACUCCAGCAAUGCCCAUAUAAUCCUUUUGAGUCACCUGCCCAGGUGGUGCCCACCUUUACACCUCUUGUAUACUUUAUUUUCCUUGUUCAUCCAUGCAGACCUCCUGACACCUUCUCUUAUUUUCCUGCUCAGUGGGAUGGACCAUUCUUGAGACAGGAGCAGGUGAUCCUUGAAAGUCAACCAGGUCUCCUGGACCCUUCUUGUUUCCAGGGCCAUUUCCCAUGGGAUUCUUCCAAGCAGAGCCUGAAGAGGCCAAAUCCUGCUCUCCUAAAGUCUCAGGUUGUAAUCCUGCUUUUAGCCACGUUUUUCCCCUCAGGAUCCUGAAUUGUCCCACCACAAAUACUGAAGAGCAGAAAGACGCCUUGUUCCCAGCUUGGGCUCUGGCACAAAACACAUAUGA